GCGCCCGUAGCUCAAUUGGAUAGAGCAACGGACUUCUAAUCCGUAGGUUUCGCGUUCGAUUCGCGACGGGCGUA
rnacentral:tRNA from 1 species